GACGAACGCUGGCGGCGUGCCUAAUACAUGCAAGUCGAACGCUGAAGAGAGGAGCUUGCUCUUCUUGGAUGAGUUGCGAACGGGUGAGUAACGCGUAGGUAACCUGCCUUGUAGCGGGGGAUAACUAUUGGAAACGAUAGCUAAUACCGCAUAACAAUGCAUGACACAUGUCAUUUAUUUGAAAUGCGCAAAUGCUCACCUACAAGAUGGACCUGCGGUGUGUUAGCUAGUAGGUGAGGUAACGGCUCACCUAGGCGACGAUACAGAGCCGACCUGAGAGGAGGAGCGGCCAAACUGGGACGGAGACACGGCCCAGACUACUACGGGAGGCAGCAGUAGGGAAUCUUCGGCAAUGGGGGCAACCCUGACCGAGCAACGCCGCGGGAGUGAAGAAGGUUUUCGGAUCGUAAAGCGCUGUUGUAAGUCAAGAACGAGUGUGAGAGUGGAAAGUUCACACUGUGACGGUAGCUGACCAGAAAGGGACGGCUAACUACGUG
rnacentral:rRNA from 1 species